UACACUCGGGCAAAACUGGAUCCUC
rnacentral:piRNA from 1 species